CUUAACCCAAUGAGCGAGGCCAGGGAUCGAACCCACGUCCUCAUGGAUGUUAGUUGGGUUCGUUAAUGACUGAGCCAUGACGGGAACUCCAAAGUGGGUCAGUUUUUUAUCCCAUGAUCCUAUGGCUGAGUGGGAGCUGUGGCUUCCUGCUGUUGACCAGCAGCGUCGUAAGAGAGUGCAUUUGGCAUAUCGCUAGCCCAGGAAAAGAUCCAAUUUCAAAAUGUGAAAUGUGGUUUGUACUGAGUGCAUAUCACUUUUGCCCCGUCUUAAAAUUGAAAAAUCCUAAGUCAAACCAUUAGAAGUCAGGGACCAUCUUAUUUGCUUUUACUAGUGACAUUUAUGCCUUAAUAGGUUUUCCCGUUACUAAAUAGCAUCCUUUCAUUUCAGCUCAGAGAAGUCCCUUUUAAUGUUCCUUCUAAGUCUAGCCUAGUAGUGAUGAACUCCUUUAGCUCUUACCUGGAAACAGCUUUGCCAGGGAUUCUUGUUUGGCAAUUUUUUGCUCUCAGCACUUGGAAUAUACAGCACCACUCCCUCCUGGUCUGCAAAGUUUCUGUGAAAAAUCUGGUAGUUUUAUGGGGUUCCCUUGAAUGUCUUCAGUUGUUUUUCUCUUGCUACUUCCAAGAUUCUCUCCUUGUCUCUCUCUUUUGACAGUUUAAUUGUAAUGGGUCUCAGCGCAGGACUCAUCUUUUUUGGAACAUUCUGGGAUUCCUGGUUUGGGAAGAUUUUAGCGCUGACUUCUUGGAAUAAGUUUUCUACCCCCUUUGCUCUCUCUCUUCCUUCUGGGACCUCUUAAUGCACAUAUUGGUCUGCUUGAUGGUGUCCAGAGGUCCCCUAUGCCAUCUUCACUCUUUUUCACUCUUUGUGUUCCUCUGAUAGGAUGAUUCCAUUGUCACUCAACCCCUGUCGCAUUUUUUUCAGGUCAGUGUUCUUCAGCUCUGUGAUUUUUUUUUUUAAAUAAUGAUUUUAUUUUUUCCAUUAUAGCUGGUUUACAGUGUUUGGUUCCUUUUCUACCGUACAGCAAGGUGACCCAGUGACACAUACAUGUACACACUCCUUUUUCUCACAUUAUCAUGCUCCAUCAUGAGUGACUAGAUAGAGUUCCCAGUGCCAUGCAGCAGGAUCUCAUUGAGCUCUGUGCUUUAUGAUCAAUACUUUCUUGUAUUUCUGUAUCUUUGUUAAAAUUCCCUCUUUGUUCCUGCAUUAUUCUCCUGGCCAUGGUGAGCCUCUUUAUGACCAUUAUUUGGACUUAGCACUUAUCUUUAUUUCAUGAAGGCCUGUUUUUGUAGUUUCAUCUUAUUCUUUUAUUUGGAACAUAUUCCUCUGCUUCUUCACGUUUCCUUGACUGUCUGUGUUGGCUUCUGUGCAUUAGCGAAGAUAGCCACCUCUCCCAGCCUCGCCAAAGUUGUCUCAUGUAGGAGAUGAAUCUAGUAUUCAGCCCGUUGAGCUCUUGGGUGUCUUUCAAACUGUCACCGUCUGAGCUGUCUUCUUUGUUCUUCGUGCCUCCUCGUGGUUUCUGCGCAGACCUGUCAGUGUUCCAAAGGGGACAUUCUCCGUCAGCACCUUGAUGCAGGCCGAUUGGAAACUGGACCGAAAGGCAGCAGCUUUUAAACUACAUAACCAGACUUCUUCCAAGGAAAGACUGGAAGGAAAUCAACGCGGGCGCCCACCACCAGGGGCGCUACUGCCGAGCAACAGCUUCAUCCUCUGCCACUCUGGCUACUGGUAUAACCUUGGGCGAAUGGUUGAGAUUGUGUCAAGAAAGGUAUUGUGAUCUUCUGUUUAUAGUGGGACUCCUUCUGUGGGGACAUUUAAUUUAAACGCUGGAGAAAAGGGGGACUCGGUUCCCUUGAUUUUUAGGGUUGACAACAUAAUCAGAAAAAACGUGAAAGGGUUAUAAAGAAAGAUAAGCUCACUUUGCAUCUGAAUUUUAUUUACAGCUUGCUUUCAGCAGUCUGCUCUGUAGCAUCUGUAUUCUGUUUAGUUCCUUCUUAGAUAUAUCAUUUAAAGCGAUUUUUCACAAGAGGGAAAAGGUAAUAUGAAGUGUCAUGUGAAAAUUUUUUCCAGAAAGGAUAUUUAAACAAGGCUGAUUGAACCAGGAGAACCAUUUUAUUGAUGGUCUAAGUUUAAAAUUAUUUCAAAGAUGUAUGUUUUGUAUGUUGUGUUCUUAAAGAGUGUUUCAGGUAAUGAUUAUAACAUUAUGGACUUAAAUCUCACAAACCAAAGUGACUGUGUUUAUCAUAUCCAUUUCAUAAACAGAAGAAACAAACAAAGAUGUUAAUUUUAAGUGACUUGCCUGAAAAACUACAGUGCUUCAGAGGUACACUGGAUCCCUCCCCCAGAUCUUAUUUUUAAAGCACAGCUAUAAUGACUAUACUGAGAUUUUAAGGAGUGGGAUUUCAUUCCAUUUGUCUAAGUUAAUGAACAGAUGUUCUAGCCACGGUUUAUCUGCCAUGGUUCUUGGGAAAAAAAAAAUGAACCAAACAUAUCUAACCCCUCUCCGCAUGGCACCUUCCUUAGCUAGAGUUUAUUGUUGUCAGCGAACCAUCACCCUCUUUACCUACAUAAUAAAACAAAUAGUUAAGUCACUGUCAGGCUGUUGCAUAAUUCAAUAAGGAGAUGCAGCUAGGGUUCACUGAUGACCCCACUUACCCUUCAGAUGCCGUACUCCAGGUCCACCAUUUUCAAAAUGGUAAGCAUAAGCUUAACAUGACCCAGCGAUUCCACUCCUACUAUAUCCAAGAGAAUGGAAAACAGGUCCACACAAAAACCUGUACAUGAAUGUUCAUAGCAGCAUUAUUCAUAGCCCCCAAAGGGAAAAGAACCUAAAUGGCCCCCAAAGGGAAAGAACCUAAAUGGCCACCAACUGACGGAUGGAUGCACAAACGUGGUACAUCCAUACAUGGGUUUGGCCAUAAGAAAGAACAACGUACUACAUGUACACACGCUACAUGACGGAUAAACCUUGGAAACAUGCUAAUAAGCCAGACAUAGAAGGCCACAUAUUAUAAAACUCCAUUUAUAUGAAAUGUCCAUAAUAGGCAAAUCCAUAGAGUCAGAGGAUUAGUGUUCACCAGGAGCUCAGGGGUAAAGAGAGGAAGGGUGAUUGCAUUUUGGAAGAUGACAAAAUAUUCUGAAACUAGUGGUGAUGGUUGCACAAUUGUUAAAACACUAAAAAUGAAUGAACUUUACAUUUAAAAGGGUGAGUUUUAUGGUAUGUGAAUUAUAUCUCAACAGUGCUCUCAUUUAAAAAGUCAUCAAUAUGAUUUCCAAUUUCUCACAUGCUGAGAUCAAUUUACCAAUACCACUUCCAAAUGGCAAGAAAGGUAUAAUUUAUUUAGCUAAAAAGAAUUGGAGUAUCUUUUUUUUUUUUUUUUUUCUUUCUUUUUAGGGCCAUACCUAUGGCAUAGAGAAAUUCCCUGGCUAGAGGUGGAAUCAGAGCUACAGCUGCUGGCCUACACCACAGCCACAGCAACACGGGAUCCCAGUCACACCUGCAACUUGUGUUGCAGCUGCAGCAAUGCUGGAUCCUUAAUCCACUGAGUGAAGCCACAGAUCAAAGCAGCAUCCUCAUGGAUACUAGCCGGGUUCUUAACCCACUGAGCCACAACAGGAACUCCAGAAUUUGAGAAUCUUGAUAGUAAGGAUGGCUUGAAAUAGUUUUAUUUCACACUCUUGAUCAGUAAUGGACUUAUUCCUAUUUUGGAAAAAUUAAAAGUAUAGUUAGCCACAGUCUGGAAAGAAGUAUUAUAAGGACAGAACUUUUUUUUUUUUUUUUUUUUUUUUUU